rnacentral:rRNA from 1 species
CGAUGGCAUCGUUGGGAUAUCAAAGGAGGAAUCCGUUGAAGGAUGGGCUCGCGGCCGAUUAGAUAGUUGGUGAGGUAACGGCCCACCAAGUCGACGAUCGGUAGCCGGACUGAGAGGUUGAACGGCCACAUUGGGACUGAGACACGGCCCAGACUCCUACGGGAGGCAGCAGUGGGGAAUAUUAGGCAAUGGGCGAAAGCCUGACCUAGCGACGCCGCGUGAGGGAAGACGGUCUUCGGAUUGUAAACCUCUGUCUUUGGGGACGAGAAGAUGACGGUACCCAAAGAGGAAGCCACGGCUAGCUACGUGCCAGCAGCCGCGGUAAUACGUAGGUGGCGAGCGUUGUCCGGAAUUACUGGGUGUAAAGGGAGCGUAGGCGGGAACGCAAGUUGAAUGUGAAAACUAUGGGCUCAACCGAUAGUUGCGUUCAAAACUGCGAAUCUUGAGUGAAGUAGAGGCAGGCGGAAUUCCUAGUGUAGCGGUAAAAUGCGUAGAUAUUAGGAGGAACACCAGUGGCGAAGGCGGCCUGCUGGGCUUUAACUGACGCUGAGGCUCGAAAGUGUGGGGAGCAAACAGGAUUAGAUACCCUGGUAGUCCACACCGUAAACGAUGAUUAAUAGGUGUGGGGG